rnacentral:rRNA from 1 species
AACGAACGCUGGCGGCAGGCCUAACACAUGCAAGUCGAACGGUAACAGCAAACAUCUUGCUGUUUCGCUGCCGAGUGGCGGACGGGUGAGUCAUGGCUGGGAAACCGCUUGCUGGAGGGGGAUAUCAACUGGAAACGGUUGCUAAUACCGCAGAACGUCGCCAGAUCAAUGAGGGGGAGCUUCGUGCCUCUUGUCGUCGGAUGUGCGCAGAUGGGAUUAGCUAGUAGGUGGGGUAACGGCUCACCUCGGCGGCGAUCUCUAGCUGGUCUGAGGGGAUGACCAGCGACACGGGCGGUGAGAAGGGGUCCAGACUCCUACGGUAGGCAGCAGUGGGGAAUAUUGCGCAAUGGGGGAGAGCCUGAUGCAGCAAUGCGGCGUGUAUGAAGAAGGCGUUCGGGUUGGAAAGUACUUUCAGCGGGGGUGAAGGGAAUAACGUUAAUACCUUAGGUCAUUGACGUUACCCGCAGAAGAAGCACCGGCUAACUCCGUG